GAUGAACGCUGGCGGCGUGCCUAAUACAUGCAAGUCGAGCGAACGGACGAGAAGCUUGCUUCUCUGAUGUUAGCGGCGGACGGGUGAGUAACACGUGGAUAACCUACCUAUAAGACUGGGAUAACUUCGGGAAACCGGAGCUAAUACCGGAUAAUAUUUUGAACCGCAUGGUUCAAAAGUGAAAGACGGUCUUGCUGUCACUUAUAGAUGGAUCCGCGCUGCAUUAGCUAGUUGGUAAGGUAACGGCUUACCAAGGCAACGAUGCAUAGCCGACCUGAGAGGGUGAUCGGCCACACUGGAACUGAGACACGGUCCAGACUCCUACGGGAGGCAGCAGUAGGGAAUCUUCCGCAAUGGGCGAAAGCCUGACGGAGCAACGCCGCGUGAGUGAUGAAGGUCUUCGGAUCGUAAAACUCUGUUAUAAGGGAAGAACAUAUGUGUAAGUAACUGUGCACAUCUUGACGGUACCUAAUCAGAAAGCCACGGCUAACUACGUGCCAGCAGCCGCGGUAAUACGUAGGUGGCAAGCGUUAUCCGGAAUUAUUGGGCGUAAAGCGCGCGUAGGCGGUUUUUUAAGUCUGAUGUGAAAGCCCACGGCUCAACCGUGGAGGGUCAUUGGAAACUGGAAAACUUGAGUGCAGAAGAGGAAAGUGGAAUUCCAUGUGUAGCGGUGAAAUGCGCAGAGAUAUGGAGGAACACCAGUGGCGAAGGCGACUUUCUGGUCUGUAACUGACGCUGAUGUGCGAAAGCGUGGGGAUCAAACAGGAUUAGAUACCCUGGUAGUCCACGCCGUAAACGAUGAGUGCUAAGUGUUAGGGGGUUUCCGCCCCUUAGUGCUGCAGCUAACGCAUUAAGCACUCCGCCUGGGGAGUACGACCGCAAGGUUGAAACUCAAAGGAAUUGACGGGGACCCGCACAAGCGGUGGAGCAUGUGGUUUAAUUCGAAGCAACGCGAAGAACCUUACCAAAUCUUGACAUCCUUUGACAACUCUAGAGAUAGAGCCUUCCCCUUCGGGGGACAAAGUGACAGGUGGUGCAUGGUUGUCGUCAGCUCGUGUCGUGAGAUGUUGGGUUAAGUCCCGCAACGAGCGCAACCCUUAAGCUUAGUUGCCAUCAUUAAGUUGGGCACUCUAAGUUGACUGCCGGUGAUAAACCGGAGGAAGGUGGGGAUGACGUCAAAUCAUCAUGCCCCUUAUGAUUUGGGCUACACACGUGCUACAAUGGACAAUACAAAGGGCAGCGAAACCGCGAGGUCAAGCAAAUCCCAUAAAGUUGUUCUCAGUUCGGAUUGUAGUCUGCAACUCGACUACAUGAAGCUGGAAUCGCUAGUAAUCGUAGAUCAGCAUGCUACGGUGAAUACGUUCCCGGGUCU
rnacentral:rRNA from 1 species